CACACCUCCCCACGUAUGGCUUCCCCAGGCAUCCUGGAGGGCAGAUUUUGGUGAGUUUGUGGGACAAACUUCCAGCAAUUCCACCUGCUCAUCACCACAGUGACUUUUCUGCCGUCCUCCGAGCCAUGACCAUAUCCUCUCACCGAGAUCCGGAUCUCAGCCCCGGGAUGGAUGGCCUCUUCCUCGGGUGCUCCAUCCCAGCAUUAGCGGUAGUGACUCUUCCUUAGAUCUGCUACUCCUAUACUCUUUUGAGUUCUCUUCGUUUUUUACUAGCCAAUCCUUUAUUACUCCAAUUCCCUAUUAUACUUCAUCAUUCUACAUAUUGAACUUUUCCUGUCCAAAUUACAAUGUGGUUUCUGUCUCCUCCUUGGAUUCUGACUCAUUCAGGCUCCGUAUUCUGAAGUUGCAGGACCUAGCCCAGCAUGCACUGAGAGAAGCCAGGACAGUAUUAUGGGACUAGAUCAAGGGAUAUAGGGCGGUGUAAGGUUGGAUAGGUGACAGUUUAUGGAUAUGGGAGCAUUCUGAUAAUGGACCCUAGCAAAGAUCCCAGGAGAUGGUGCUAAUACACUGCUAAGAUGGCUGUUGGAAAUUGAGAGAAAAAAAAAAAAAUGGCCUACACUAAGAGAAGGAGAAAAGUUAAAAUUGCUAUGGAAGGCUCAGAGAAGUGAGAGUGCUGGAGCGGCUAUACUAUGAAGAGCUAGAAAAUUCAACAGCUGACUAUAUUCCCCAGGAGGGCCUGAAGGACACCCCUUUUACCAAAAGGAUUAGAAAUCUCUGGUAAGGGACACCAUCAUCAGUGAGAAGCUCCAUGUGUCUGUCCUCUGCAUACCAGAGCUGAUGGUACAGAGCUAGACUCCCUAAUAGCAAUAAGGAUGGUAGCAUCCGUACAUAAUUGAGGCAGAUGGUAGCACUUAAACAUCAGAGGCAAGGUGGAUUCAAGUAUAAUGAGUGGCUGUGUCAGAUUUGGGGGGCAUGGUGUAGCUGACCUACAGAGAGCUAUGGAGGUGAUUAACAGAACAUGGCAGGAACGACAGUCUCCAUUAUAUCCUUGCUAAAUUCACCAAUGUGGCCUUUGCAAAAAACAGACAGGACCUAGGGGAUUAAAAUGGACCACGGCAGACUUCCCUGGCGGUCCAGUGGUUAAGACUCCACGCUCCCAGUGCGGGGGGCUCGGUUCAAUCCCUGGUUGGGGCAGAUCCCACAUGCUGCGUGGCACAGCAGAAAAGGAAAAAAAAAAAAAAAGGACCACUGCAAACUCAACAAAUGGUAGCCCCAUUGAAACUGCUGUGCCAGAUGUAGUAUCUUUGCUAAAGAACAGCUUCUGGAAUGCCACUGGACCCUGGUAUAAACAGAACACCUGACCACGGCCAUCAGUGUUCAUGCAGCCAGAACUUCCUAUCAUGAGCUCGAGUCUGUCAGACUCAUCAGUUGAACUUGAGCAAAGACAGAGGGCACAAGUAAGACGUACAAGUAAGCUACACAAGCACGUGGCCCAGACCCCCAUGUCUCCCAGCACGCAGGUACCUCUCCACUAGUUAUCCAUGUUUGGUGGCUACAUGGGAGCGGGGAGGGGCACUUUAUGAUCAUCCGAAGGAAGAGGGGGAAAAAAGGAGAGCUUGGUUCACAAAUGGGUUGGCUUGCUGGACACACGCCGGGAACAGACUCGUGCUGCACUGCAACCCUCUCUGGGUCGUCCCAAGGAACAGCAGUGAGGGAGGAUCCUCCCGUGGGCAGAGCUUCGGCGGAGCAUGCAGACAUCCACUGCAUGUGGAAAGACAAGCAGCCUGAGGGAGCCACAUCUUUCUGCCCAGGUCGGCACCACAAGGAGAAUGAACAGGAUGAGGUACUGCGGGAUGAUGUGACGUGUUUGGGUUGGGUCUAUGAAGACCCACACCCGCUGUCUUGAGUGAAAAGAACAGGGCCCUUUUCAAAGGAUUUGGUUUUUUCCACCUCUUUGUGAUCCAAGUUACCAGACCGUACGGAAGGGUCAAGGAGAGAGCUGGGGACUUCAGCUCAGGAG